AUUGCGGUCACGGAUACGAUUCCCGGACCACGCCUGGCUGAGGGUCG
rnacentral:rRNA from 1 species